UAUAUAUAUAUAUAUAUAUAUAUAGCAAUGCAUCUGUGUGAUAGGGAAGAAGAUUUUAGAUUGGCUGGACAUUGAAGAUCACAUGAGGAUUUUUGUGAAACUUAGGAAGAUAAUUAAUGAGCAUAUAGUGAAGGAAUGUAAAAGCUUGACAAUGUUGAUGCCUUAAUAUUGCUUCUUGCCAUGUUCAUUUGCAAAAAGAGUUAUAGUUUUCUUGUAUAUUUCAGAAAAAGCCAUAAUUCCAUAGAUGUCAAAUUUCAACAAUAUUUGGAAACAAUUGUUUAAAAAUCAUUUUGUAAUUUAUGCUGGUAACGUUUAGGUUGAUUCUACAUUUUUUUUUCUUUCAAAUUAGUAAACGUUUUAUUUUAGUAUUUUAAGUUUUGAAGGAUGACAUUGUAUUCAUGACUGUGAUGAAAAUAUGAGAGGUUAUAUAGUUGGUCUUGUGAAUAUGUGGUUCUGGAAUAUGUGAAUUAUGAAAUCUUUCUUGAUUUGAAAAUAGUUUCAGUGAUUUAGCAUUUAGUUUAAUGAUGUUUUUGCAUGAUGUUCCAUGCAUUCUGUUGAAUAUUCUAUUUUAAUUUUUCAUUCUAAGAGUUGUUUGGGAAAACAUUAGUAACUCUAAUAUAAAACAAAUCAGAGAUUACUAAGUACGACAUCCAUUGUUUUCUUAUGUUGACUUAUUCAAGUAGAGCAAUUCUUUAGAUUUUUUUUAAUAUUUUUUUUAUAAGUUUCACAAGAAUCAUAUGCACAAUAAUUUACUUGAAUCCAGGAUGAGUCCCUGAAUCUGAGUUUUUUAUCCAUGAAUGUGGAAUAUGAUUUUAGGUUGGAUGAUGAACAAUGCAUGUGCAGUAAUGUUCACAUUGCGAAUCAUUCAAUCGUUUUUACUAACACUUGUAGAGAUAAAAGGGUGGAAAGUAAUGGCAACUGAAGUAUCUUAUGUGACCAUAUAACUGGUAAAUGAUGGGUAUGUUUUGAGGAAGGUGCUUAGCAUCUUCUGCAUGUCAAAGGAACAUGGUAUCUAAAAUCAAUAUCAAAGAAUUUCUUUCGUGAGUUUGGGUACAAGAUUUUUGAAUUUCCUAUAGGAGUGGAUAACUUGUGUUUUAACUAUUGACAUCUAUCUCAAUUUAAAUAGUCUUGGUUAAAUUGGGCAUGAUCCAUUCCUAUUAUUUCAGGAUUUGUUUUCCUUGCUUUCUAGGUUUUCCCAGCAUGUGCUUUCUUGAGGUGAUAUCAGAUUAUAAUCUUGUCCAUUGGGUCAUAUGAAUUAUUCAGAGGGCCUUUCCAUCAAUGCUGGAGAAUGUAGCACUGAGAACAAAAGUAACCGGUGGCUGAACUGAAAUUGUCAGCAAGGUAAAAAACUUGCAAGUACGAAAAAAUAUAGUGCAUGAUUUUAAAAAGGAGGUGGGUGAAAGUCUCUUUAGAGAUAUGGCAUAAAAUGUGGCUUUGCUUUUAGGUGGACUUGAACUGAUUGAUAUAAUAUAGCAUUAAGUCUCCUGGAGGAUGUGGCUUGCUCAGGAUCACCACAACAUGAAUGAGGAGAAUGUUGAGGAUCAUGUGUGAGGUUUUGGUUCUAUGUAGAAUAAUUUGUAGGAAAUAAGUGGAUUUGUGUAAAUGAUUGAGUCCAAAGAUUGAUAGCUUAAGCUUUUAAGAGUAGGGAGAGAGUGGAAGGUUUUUUCCCCUUCUUGAGAGGAGGGGAGGUUUGGGGGUAAGAACCUCCUCUGGGGAAAUGGGGGAGGAUAGAUCUUGGUUGCUUAAAUUAAAAUAACAUUGAAUUGAUGGAUAAUCAAACCUUUUAUUAAAUUCCUUUUGCUAAAAUUUUGAUCAUUCUAAAACAAAACUAAAUAGUGUACAUGAGUGUUGUGAUCCUUGGUGUGGUGUUUGUUUUGAAAUGGAUCUUAGCAGGGUUUGUUAAUUAUCUCCAAAAGUUUUAAUUUUCAAUAACAAAGCAACAUCAGGUUAAAUUCAAAACUUGAAAGUUCAAAGACAUAUCUUUUGCCUUUUUCUUUGUUCAGUGAUGCCUUUUAGGUUCUGGAUUUUGUUCAGAAGUAUCAAACAAUUUCUUUCUUACCAAAUAAAAGAAAAAAAAACAAUUUCUUGAAGGCAUGGUUCUUCUAGAUUUUGCCCUUUUUUUUUUUAAAUUAUUGUUGUGAUGCAGUUUUUAGUUGGUGGAUUGGUAUUACAGCUUUCAUCUAUUUAGUAUUUGAUUACUGGUGGGCCUAGUUUUUUGACCUAGCUAACCCCCAAUUUUGGCAAUGCCUCGCCUGUGUUCUGAUGUAGAAAAAAUGGGAUCUUUGACCUAAUAUGCUAGAUGCGUUUUUUCAUUCAUACAUUAUCAUGAAAACAAGCAUAUGACACAACUCUAGUUUUCUUGUCAUCUGCUCUCGAGGGUGCAAGGGAUUUUGUUUCUGGUGGACAUGAUGCAUUUUCUUCUUUUUUGCUUAAAAAACUUAAGAUUCUGUUUUUGCAGAGUUACCAAGGAAGUUUAUCGUCUGAUAAGGAAGUGGUGAUGGUGGGCUUGAUUUCAUAUUAUCUUGUUUCAUAUCAUCUGUGUUUUUCUGUAAUUGCUUUGCUGUUCAAGUUUCUAACCUGGAAAGAAGAUAAUUGAUCCCUUCUUUAAAUCUUCUAAUCGUGAUGGCUUGGUGUGUUGGCCUUGAAGCAGGUUGAAUUUAUGGCUCGCUUGAUCAAAUUUAUUAUAAUUUCAUGCGCGCAAAUUCAGGGUUGUUUCUUUUCAUAGUUGUAACUUUGAUGAUUCUCUAUGCUGGGAAACGAUACUGUUUUCAGAUUGUGUAAUUUGUCUCUAAAUUUUUACCUCUCGGAAUCAUUGCUGUUUAUCGUCCCAAACCUAUUUUGCAAGCCAUUCUGCAUUCUCGCCGAAUGAAAGGAAAAUACGUAGCCUAGAAUUGGUUCCUCAACAGCCCAAAUUCUCCAAGAAUAGGUUCUAUCUGUAUUGGCCUUAACAGCACUACCUGAAGUGUUUCUAACCAUGCCUACGUUUUUAGAGUCCGCCAUGCUUACAGAUAAUCCUCUCUUCUGCUCGGUAUAUUUUGGAUUCAAUUCUUUUAUAUUUUAGAUUUUUCUAUCUUUAUGUCUAGAAAAAAAGAAAAAAAAUAAGAAAGGAAGUGAUGACUCCCAACAUCGACAUGAUUGUUGUUCAGCCCCCUCCAGGUACCUGCACAAUUCAAUGUCCAAGCCAACCCCCACCAGUCUAUAAAACCGGUUAAUCUAAUUGAAUUAUAUUAAAAACAAUAUCAUAUUCUAAAUAUGAACAUAAAAAAAUUGUUUAGAUUAUUCCAUUGCUUUUCAAUGUAGGUUUCUUUUUUGGCAUGAUGGUUCUCCCCC
rnacentral:lncRNA from 1 species